ensembl:lncRNA
CAGCAGAACACUUUGCAAGAAAGCAUUCUCUAGUGAGGAAAAUACCAAGUCACUAAUAUAUGCCAGAAGCAAUUUAUUCUCCGUGAAUUUUCAAACAACAUGAAGGAAGGAUUCCAAAGUUUCUUGGCAAGCAACAUUGCAGCAGUACCACGCAUGGAAUUUCCUGCAAGCCUGCUUGCUCCUUGGGAAGGCACAGACUUGCCAUCCAUCCCUCCACGGCCGAUCCACAAGAGAUCAGCAGGGUGUGCCGGGCUCUGCACAGCCCAGGCACACGGCUGGCACCAUGCCGGUCACUUCCACGGCUCCCUUCAGCUCUACACCUAUGAGGAAACGUCACCGCUAACAGCUGAGAGGCCAUCAUCCACAGCACUACCCCGGGGCUGUUACUUUACAUUUCACCAAAGGGAAAACAAAAAUAAUGUUAUAUCUGCAGUAUGAACGUCCUGUGAUUUCCAUUUCCUGGGCAAUUCUGACAAGUGCCUUUUCACGUAAGCACUGGAACAAAACCAAGAGUGAAGGCUGCGUACAAAUGGCGACUCCCAAGCUCUAAGCGUCCCUUAGCAGUCAGAUGCAGCUCAGCGUUCACCCAGUACAGGCAGAACGUCCCAGGAAAGAGAGGGGAGCACAGCACCCUGCCGCCCACCUGGGCACCGAGCACCCGGCACUUACACACGUGUAUCACCACAAAGGGGCUGUGUGGGCUGCUCCUGCGGGUGGGAGCUAAGCCUGGCCCCACGCACGUCCCAUCGGCUGUUCUCUGCACCAGGGCAGAGGUGAUGCUAUCAACGUGGCCUUCAUUUUUCAUCAGGAACGGGCUGAUCAGCAUAACCAAACCCGACUACAAGCCCUCGGCAUCUCAGUGUAGCCCAUCAUUCCGCUGCAAAACAAAAAGGCUUGCGACUGCAAUUCAGAAAAUGUAGCCUAGCAGAGAGGAGAGUUCCUCCAGAAAGUGUCUAUUUAUAUAAUCGCUGCAGCGCUCAGAUACCAUGGAAAUAAGUAAAGAAUAAUAUCUUGGGGGAGUCUGUGGCACUGCAGAUUGGAGCAGCAGUCGCUGUUGCUGCCAAACGCGAGCCCCCGCUGGUGCUCCUGCCCCCGGGCUGCCCACGAGCUGCCAUGCUUCAGCAUCACGCUGCACUCUGCACGGAUUUCACCAGACUGCUUCCAGCCCCGUUUCCCUUCUCCGGGCUCACGGGCACCCACCGCUCCCUGCCCUGUGCCCCAGGGACCGCGGCCAGAUCACAGCAAUCCCUCACCGGGCUCUCGCACAGGGAUGUUGCUGGAAGGGCAAUGGCCACACAAACCUGUGCUCUCCGCCUGCAAUUUGCCACCAGCUAUCCCUUGUUAUUCCCUGAUAGAAUCUGGAAGCUCUGGAUCCAGAAGGCGUCAGCGCACAUCCAGCCCCCUGGUCAUUCACUCAUGGCAAAGUGAUGACCUGGAGGACCAAAGAGGGUUUAAAUGCUAUAAAGAGUAAGGAUCCAAUUAGCAGAACAGACCAGGCUGGAAUUAGCAUUCAAGGAUAAAGGCAGAAAAGGAAAACAUGAAGUAUCAGAAAGAGAUACAUGAAAUUAUCUCUCUGGAGUGAAGCAGCAGAAGCUCCACUGCUCGGUCUAUUUAAAACUAAGUUGGACACAGAGAAAUGAGCACAGGAGCUCCAUUUCAGCAGGAAGAGGGCUCAGGUUACUUUCAUCUUCAGUCCUCGCAGCUGGCUGUCUCUAAGCAGGAAGCGCCAUGUGUUUGCCUGCGAGUAGUAACAGAGUUCUGCCAGUCCUACUGCUGCCUCUGGCAAUUCCAAGGCAUUUUUCCAUAUAGACCUUAGGAAGAGUAUGAAGAACCACCAGAGCGAAGGCUGCAUCUCAACUGCAUGCUCAGAGUGAGGAGGCAGUCACACACACACACACAUCUGUGUAUGCUUCUGGGAAAAGUCACAAGGUUGCAACAGGAAGAAAAAAACGUGGGUCAAAGCAGAAACACCCAUUGACUUCAACGUGACCGAGGGUGGAGAACUGCUGAACCUUGGGGCAGGCUGUGUGCCAUACCUGUACCGCUGCCCUGAGGAACCACAAGCCAAGGGCUGCUGCUGUGCUGCUGGGCUUUCAGGACUGAAAGAGGAGAAAUACGUUUGUCACAUUUAUUGGGGUUCUUCUGACUUCUCGUUAAUCUCAUCGCCUCUCCCGGCAAAGCUCCUGCUUCCUUAAGCAGCUGCCUGCACCGCAUUAAGGAGUAAGCUGUUCAUCCCGAGUCACAUGUGCCAGCCUUUCCUCCCUUCUCUCAGGAAAGGUGAUUUCAAACUAGAGCACCUGCCCCAUUAGGCUGGAGAGGAAUUCAGCCCAGCUGCUAUCUUAAUGGCCCUUUGAGCGUCGCCUUUACGUUCAGAGUCUCCUGUUUUAACCAGGGGCUUCCCACAGGCCAAGAAACGCUUUGGUGGCUCUGCUCACUGCACAGGCCGUGCUGGCAGCGUGUGGGCUCCAUCCACACCAAGCACCCCACAUCCCCCCAGGACAGGGACAGGGACUUCCACCUCUCACGGUGGACACAGAGCCUUGGGAGCAGGAGGAGCCAGCAGUGGCUCCGUGUCACCAUUCCCCUUCCUGCAUGGAGAGUGGCGGUCGAGGCCCUGAGUGAGAACGCAGGCACCGACGACCAGACGUUGUAUAUGAGAACUGAGAGUGAAGCAGUUGGUUUUGUGGCUGUACGUUUGCUACAGUCACGGGGAAUCACUCCACCUGAAACGGAAUUUCAGCCCCUCCAGGCCUUCACACAUUCCUCGUUUUAAUCCCUCCUGAAAGUAUUUUUCGGCAGCCGUUUCUCACUGGGGCACGGAGGUGGGAGUGGGACGUGGCACUGAGAUGCAGGACGGGGAGAAGGACAAAGGACCGGGACGUGGGACGUGGAGACGGGACGCGGGUAGGAUGUGAGAUGUGGGAUUGGGGCGCAGGGUGUGGAAGUGGGACACGGGGAUGGGGACACGGAAGAAGGCUAUAGGACGUGGAGCUGAGCCACGGGGCACCCACGUGAGGGGUCGGGAGCCACGCGGGGCAGUGAGGAGCAGCUCGAGCAGGCUGCCCCCGGGCAGCGGAACGGCGGCGGCCCGGCCCGGCAGAGCUCUGGGGGAUGUCAGCUGGGCGCCCCGUCGCCCCAUCCCCGCCGGUAGUUCAGCACUGCGCCCGCUGAAACAGGGAAAGCGAGGCCCGAGCUCAGAGCACGGCCCGGCUUGCGGCGGGCAGCUCGGGGCCGUUGCCGGAAAGGGGCCGAGCGGCGACACCGGAGCGCUCCGUUCCCGCUCCGCUCGCUGCUGCCCGAAGACGGACGCGGCGUUUCCCCGCGCGUUCCUCCCCAG